rnacentral:rRNA from 1 species
UAGGGAAUCUUCGGCAAUGGAUGAAUGUCUGACCGAGCAACGCCGCCCGCGUGAAGAAGGUUUUCGCUUCGUAAAACUCUGUUUUUAGAGAAGAACAAGCACGUUAGUAACUGAACGUCCCCUGACGGUAUCUAACCAGAAAGCCACGGCUAACUACGUGCCAGCAGCCGCGGUAAUACGCAGGUGGCAAGCGUUGUCCGGAUUUCUUGGGCGUAAAGCGAGCGCAGGCGGUUUCUUAAGGCUGAUGGGAAAGCCCCCGGCUCAACCGAGGAGGGUGAUUGGAAACUGGGGGACUUGGGGGGAGAGGAGGAGGGUGGAAUUCCGUGUGGAGCGGUGAAAUGCAUAGAUAUAUGGAGGAAGACCAGUGGAGAAGGCGGCUCUAGGGUAAGUAACUGACGCUGAGGCACGAAAGGGUGGGGAGCAAGGAGG